CAAUUCUACUGCCGUUAUCCAAGACCAUCUCCAGCGGAGAAGAAAUUUCUUAUAUCCACAGCCCACCAUCAAAAUCUCCUGAAAGUGUAUCUUCUAUAGAGCUAUAGUUCGAUCAUUUUGACGAUUUUGAUCUGGGGAAAGAAUAUUGUGAUUAAUUUGGGGGAAAAGUAUUCUGAUUAUGAAAGGAGAAGAUUUCUGUGCGUGAUUUGAAAUAAGAAGUAGAUAGUUUUCUUUGGAAAGUAGAAUCAGCAACGUCCCUUUCAGAUUUCACCGAUAUCUCAUGAAGAUACAGCGGAAUAAUCAUGAACAAGGAGCGUUCUUUCAGAUUCACUCGCAGCUAAACAAUCAGCAGCUACUGAAUAAACGCGGAGACGGAGGGGUGCAAUGGUCAAUUCCCGUCGGUCCGUUGAAAAGAUCCCUUUUCUUUAUUAUGGCAAGAUUGUGUUCCGGAGAUGGACGGCGACUUUUUCCGGCGAGCUUUGGGUCUAUAUGAAGAACAACAAGGUCAAGGUGAUCCGAUUCUGACGUCUUCAUCAAAAAAUUGGGCAAAUUACUCUCUACUCAUGGGAGCACAUCUUCUUCAAGAAGAAAUCACUUCAAAAUGGUUGGAAAGUACUCCAAAAACCAUUAUCUUCCUCUCUUUAGAAUACACAUUGUUGGUGCUUCUACGAUUCUCCGAUCUUUCUCUUCUCGGAUUAUUAGUUGGUACUACUUGUUGUAUUUUGGUUUGUGAUGAAUGUUAUAUCCCACUUGUAAUUACUCAAAUUUUGUGAAUGAAUGAAAUUUGAUGGUGU